rnacentral:sRNA from 1 species
UCCGUAGGUGAACCUGCGGAAGGAUCAUUAAUAGUGCCCUCUGAUGCAAAUCAUUGGGUUAGAUCUGCUCUCUUCGCAAGAAGAGGGUUUCCAUACACACCGUGAACUGUGGCUUCGGCCAUCACAAACUGUUAGUAAUGAAUGUAAUAUCAUAACAAAAACAAAACUUUUAACAACGGAUCUCUUGGCUCUCGCAUCGAUGAAGAACGCAGCGAAAUGCGAUAAGUAAUGUGAAUUGCAGAAUUCAGUGAAUCAUCGAAUCUUUGAACGCACCUUGCGCCCUUUGGUAUUCCGAAGGGCAUGCCUGUUUGAGUGUCAUGAAACCUCACCCCACUUGGGUUUUUGCCUGAGCGGUGGUGUAUUGGGUGUUGCCUUGCUAAAGGCUCGCCUUAAAGACAUAAGCACCUUGGAUGUAAUACGUUUCAUCCUUCUGGGUGGCUGAUAACCCCACAUAUUCAUGAUCUGGCCUCAAAUCAGGUAGGGCUACCCGCUGAACUUAAGCAUAUCAAUAAGCGGAGGAAAAGAAACUAACUAGGAUUCCCUUAGUAACGGCGAGUGGACCGGGAUGAGCUCAAAUUUAAAAUCUGGCGUCUUUCAGGCGUCCGAGUUGUAAUCUAUAGAGGCGUUUUCCGCGCCGGACCGCGUCCAAGUCUCUUGGAAUAGAGUAUCAAAGAGGGUGACAAUCCCGUACUUGACGCGACAACCGGUGCUCUGUGAUAUGUUCUCAAUGAGUCGAGUUGUUUGGGAAUGCAGCUCUAAAUGGGUGGUAAAUUCCAUCUAAGGCUAAAUAUUGGCGAGAGACCGAUAGCGAACAAGUACCGUGAGGGAAAGAUGAAAAGCACUUUGGAAAGAGAGUUAAACAGCACGUGAAAUUGUUAAAAGGGAAACGCUUGAAGU